rnacentral:lncRNA from 12 species
AUGGCAAGAUUCCACUCUUUUUCGGGACACCUAGAAUUGUUUGUACACGUGAGAAACUGUAAAUACCCUCGAAGACAGUCAAGGAAGGGACUGCUUGAACAAACCCUAUCCAUACAGCCAUUUAAAAUGAUCCUAUUUACCUGGAAAGACAGGAGACACUGGUCUUUAAAAACAAAAAACAAAACAAAACAAAACCCCAGAAAACCAUGUGCGUGUGUGAGGUCUCCCAGGUUUACACAGCAGCGUAGUAAUUCUUUCUGGCAGCCGGGACUGUGGAUUGUUGAUCCCUGGAGAGAUUACAACUGUGGACCACAUAAGGAAUGCUCAUCACCUGGAAGGCAACUUAAAGUGUAUGUUGUCAUCAACAGGGCUGAGGCAAAGUCAGUGUCAGACAAAGGAACAAGCUUUACUGGAUAAGUUGUGAGCCAAGAGUCUGCAAGAGAAGGCCCCGGGGUGCUCUGUUGGACGUGUUACAAGUGAGCAUUCCAGGGAAGGGACAUCCUCUCUUCUGCUCUCCCCACGACCAGAGCUGUGAACAUUCUUGUCAGUGGGGUCCACACAGACUGGUAUCAGGCUGUCAGGGUUUAGAUGUCAACCGUCAGGAGUUAUCUGAGAGAACCAGCUGCCUGUAUCUUGACUCCUUGGGUGUCUGUGGGAGGUCACAGCCCCUCCUUCUGGGAGGGGAAAAAAUACCAUUCCAUGGGAGUUUGGAAGAAGUAGGGAAGGGAGGUUGUUGGUCAAAGCUGGGUCAUUGUACAGGAAACCCAGAAUGAUCUCCUGGGGUUAUCUGCAGACUAGUCACACUGGCAUUGGUUAGUAGCAUCAUCUUUCUGUAUACAAGGCCAGAAAAUUUAGGAUUCCGUUUUUAUAAGAAUUCUGAGAUGCGUGCUUCUGCCACAAUUAUUUGCAAUCCGGGGACCUUAUGUAGGCUUCCCAUUUUAUACCAAUUUAAGCAAAAUUUAAAUAUUUUAACGGUUGGCAUUUAGUUGAGAAUUUUAAAUAUUCAGUGCCCUUCUGGGUUUAGCUGUGAAUGGGUCUCUCUGGAGCUUUGUCACUUACAUGUCGCCACCUGCUGGACAAGACAAGUGCAAUUGAACUUAGUGGAAAUCCUACUUGGCCUCAAAGGCGUAGCCCCUCACUGCCCCAGGGGAAGGCAGGGAAUGUGUGAGGUCGGACUCCGGGAGGAGUAGGUUCUCCGACCUCUCCAUUCCUGAGAAUGUCCUGCAACCUGCAUCCAUCCCUUUGCCUCAAGGGAAUGGGAGGUGUUGGGGUGGGCCCCAAGAUGAGCGGAGGAAACAGCAGGUAAACUCACCUACUGGAUCCGAGAGCCAAGAGAAGUGCCAGUGGUAAGAUCAGUGGCUGCUUAGAUACCUAUGGUUCUGGGGAUCAGAGCAGCUGUGAUAGGUCUCUACCCCGGAGGCAGGGCAGGUUUACUUAUUUAGGCUUUGCGUCAGAUGGCUGCGGAAUAAAAAAUUACAGAAAGCUCUUGUCA